AAUCUUUCUUCCAAAAAAAAAAAAAAAAAAAAAAAAAAAAAAAUUCAAAUCGAAACCCUAUAGGCGAUUCACGAUCUCGUCGAUUUCUCUUCCCCAAACUGAAACCCUAGCAGACGAUUCACUCGUUUCUUCGACUCUGAACUGGAAGCACCGUUUCCGACAGUUCGAAGCAAAGUCGACGGCGAUAUUGUGCAGUUUAACGGCGCAUAAAAACUUUUAAUGGCAAGAAAAAGGAAGGCAACGGCACAGGCUAUUGAUGAGGAGGAGGAAUACCAAGUUCACUCUGAAUAUGAUGAAACUGCAGGAGGUGGAAGAGAGCAUGAGGAAAAUUAUUCUGCGGAGGACAACGGGUCAGCAAUGGCAACUAAUGGCCUAGACGGAUUUCUACAUACAAGAAUCUGAAGGCCUUCCUGCUGCUACGUGGCAAAUACUGUUCAAUGAUGUAUAGUAAUGACAAUCUGGCCAUUGACUAUGUCUUAAAAAAUGCCAUGAAUCACUUUGAGGAAGGGAAAAAGAAGGGAUCUAUAGACGUUGAGAAGAUGGUUGCGAACUACUGCAUGCCUUGACAGAUGAUAGAAGUUUAAGUGUUUUUGGACAUGAAUUCUCGAUUUAGUGUUGUUUUUUGCCUUGACUGAUGGUUUUAUUGGGUGACUAUUCUUAGUUAAAUACAAGAUGGUUUUAUUUUGG